UACGGAGGGUGCAAGCAUUAAUCGGAUUUAUUGGGCGUAAAGCGUGCGUAGGCGGUUCAUUAAGUCGAUUGUGAAAUCCCUGGGCUUAACCUGGGAACUGCAGUCGAUACUGGUGGACUAGAAUGCGGUAGAGGGUGGCGGAACUCCGGGUGUAGCGGUGAAAUGCGUAGAUAUCCGGAAGAACACCGAUGGCGAAGGCAACCACCUGGGCCUGCAUUGACGCUGAGGUACGAAAGCGUGGGGAGCAAACAGG
rnacentral:rRNA from 1 species